AGAGGGCUUCAUGCGAUGCUAUGUGCAUCUGCUGUGCUGGCGACUGGAAGAGUUGUAUCUGGCUCUGCUGGCUCUUCAAAGAGAGAAGUGGAUAUGGAGCAAUUCAUCCUGGGCACCAACUUGUGGGGCAGAUGGUAGCAUGCUCCCACAUCAGGCUAAUUCUUGGCUACUCCUCAGCUACUCCUUCAAACACAGAAAAGAAAUACUGGUAAGAGGCGAAGCUUUCAGCUGGAACUCUUUACAGCUCCCUCAGGACAUCGGAGUGUAAAACAGAAGAGAGAGACACAUAACUCACCAGUGUCAGAGGGAAUUGUUCCACAUGUAGCUGUAGAUUUGAUGUGCACAGGAGGAAGUGAACUCAGUUUCUUUUUACACCACCAUUUUGGACGGACUCUCCCUACCAUGCCCUUGAUUUUCCUAUUCUCUCUACUUGAAAUGCCUC